rnacentral:rRNA from 1 species
UACGUAGGGGGCAAGCGUUGUCCGGAUUUAUUGGGCGUAAAGCGUGCGCAGGCGGUUUUGUAAGUUUGUCGUGAAAUCCCCGGGCUCAACCUGGGAAUUGCGAUGAAGACUGCAAGGCUAGAAUCUGGCAGAGGGGGGUAGAAUUCCACGUGUAGCAGUGAAAUGCGUAGAGAUGUGGAGGAACACCGAUGGCGAAGGCAGCCCCCUGGGUCAAGAUUGACGCUCAUGCACGAAAGCGUGGGGAGCAAACGAGG